GAGGGGCCCGCGUCGGAUUAGGUAGUUGGUGGGGUAACGGCCCACCAAGCCUUCGAUCCGUAGCUGGUCUGAGAGGAUGAUCAGCCACACUGGGACUGAGAUACGGCCCAGACUCCUACGGGAGGCAGCAGUGGGGAAUAUUGGACAAUGGGGGCAACCCUGAUCCAGCAAUGCCGCGUGGGUGAUGAAGGCCUUCGGGUUGUAAAGCCCUUUCGGCGGGGAAGAUGAUGACGGUACCCGCAGAAGAAGCCCCGGCUAACUUCGUGCCAGCAGCCGCGGUAAUACGAAGGGGGCUAGCGUUGUUCGGAAUUACUGGGCGUAAAGGGCGCGUAGGCUGUGCUGUAAGUCAGGCGUGAAAGGCCCGGGCUCAACCUGGGAAUGGCGCUUGAUACUGCGGCGCUGGAAGGCGGGAGAGGAUGGCGGAAUUCCCAGUGUAGAGGUGAAAUUCGUAGAUAUUGGGAAG
rnacentral:rRNA from 2 species